rnacentral:lncRNA from 10 species
CAGGGUUUCACCAUGUUGCCCAGGCUGGUCUUGAACUCCUGAGCUCAGGCAAUCCGCCUGCCUUGGCCUCCCAAAGUGCUAGGAUUACAGGCAUGAGCCACCACGCCCGGUCAAAGCAGGGCCUAUUUUGGACAGUAGGGUGAAAAGAACUUGAGGUGAAACCAUCGUACGUAUUUUUAAAAAGGCAAAGCACACCCUGCAGCAGAGAGCCCACGUGCCCUCCAUUUCAGCACCUGCCCAUGGCGUCCUGGUCCAGGCACCCAACAUAUUCCACCUGGGAGCUUUGCCCUGAUCCCCUGGAUGGGAAAUGGAGCUAAGUUCCCACAGAGCUUCUCUCGUAACAGCAAAUAUGAGUUGGUGGAUAAACAGCCCAGCUUCCUUAUCCUUAACUUGAGCAAAUAACUCUGAGGUGUACUCCACACAGUCUCCCAGAGUUCCCAGCAGGAAAGUGCCUCAGUUACCCAAAUAGUAAUCUGCUCAAGAAUGCACCCCGUAUUGCCCUUUUUGCCUUCUCUGUCUCACUUCCUCACUCCUCUACCAGUGUCUCCUGGGUUCACCUCGGAAAUAGACUCCUCACCUGGGAUGUCCUCCAACCCUCUUCUCAGGCUCUGCCUUUGGGGAACCCAAUCUAAGUCAUCAUCCUAACCAGCCCUAGAUUAUUAAGCUAUCCAGGAAUAAAAAGAUCCUUUUGCAGGGGAAGUUCUUUAUUUUGCACUGCACAUAGCACGCUCUUUUAAAAAACGAGAAAGCAUUAUAAAACAAGAAAACAAGGAGGGAACUAUGCACUCAGGUUGGGGAAGAGGAGAACCAAAUGAAACAGCCCACUGAAUAGAAUGCAAAGGAAUUCCCCCACACCUCCCGCCUGCCUGCCACCAUCCAUCUAGAUGCCCAGAGGCAUCCACUGUCACGGGUUGGUAUGCAUCUCUUUGGAAGUCUUCUCUGCAUAUUUUAAAAACUUUAAGUCAGAUCAUGUCACAUGGCAUUCGAGGUGGAAGUCAGAGUCUGUCAAGCCCCUACAAGGACCUCUGCCUUCCUCUUCUGUGGGCCUUUUCUCCCAUCCUCUCCUUCUUACUCACCCGCCCCAGCUCCCCGGCACCCUCACUUCAAUCGUAGCAGUUCCCUUCCUUCUGGCUGGAACUCUCUUCCCCAUCUGAGCGCAUAGUGCCCUCUCUCCCUUCCUACAAGUCUUGGCUCAAAUACCCGCUUUCCGGUGAAGCUUUUUUCAAAGAAACUUUUUUGCUGCUGGAUUCCUUCACAUACUCCCAUCUUUAUUUUUCCUCAUAUGACUCUGCACCACGCGGCACAUCACAGAGUCCACUUACUGCUUAUUGUUGCUCUUCUUCAUUAGAAAAUAAGCUCCAUAGUGCUGGGAUAACAGGCGUGAGCCAGCUGGUUUGUCUGUUUUGUUCACUGCUGCAUCCCUUGUGCUUAGAACAAUACCUGGCAUGUAGCGGUUGCUCAGUAAAGCUUAGCUGAAUGAAUACACAGGUAUGACCCCACCACCAAACACACACACGCAC